rnacentral:rRNA from 1 species
GACGAACGCUGGCGGCGUGCUUAACACAUGCAAGUCGAACGGAAAGGUCCUGCUUUUGUGGGGUGCUCGAGUGGCGAACGGGUGAGUAACACGUGAGUAACCUGCCCUUGACUUUGGGAUAACUUCAGGAAACUGGGGCUAAUACCGGAUAGGAGCUCCUGCUGCAUGGUGGGGGUUGGAAAGUUUCGGCGGUUGGGGAUGGACUCGCGGCUUAUCAGCUUGUUGGUGGGGUAGUGGCUUACCAAGGCUUUGACGGGUAGCCGGCCUGAGAGGGUGACCGGCCACACUGGGACUGAGAUACGGCCCAGACUCCUACGGGAGGCAGCAGUGGGGAAUAUUGCACAAUGGGCGGAAGCCUGAUGCAGCAACGCCGCGUGCGGGAUGACGGCCUUCGGGUUGUAAACCGCUUUCGCCUGUGACGAAGCGUGAGUGACGGUAAUGGGUAAAGAAGCACCGGCUAACUACGUG